CCUCUUGGCCGUCUUCUUCUCUGCCCUCUGCCUUCUGUUGGCUUGUUGUCAUCUGCAGGAGGAUCAGAACGCUGCCAGGGAGAUAUGGAAGCUAAAUGUGAAUCAGGUGCAGGGAUAUGUCACUGUGAACAGAGACACCCACGGGCCAAGUAACCCCAUAGAAUGAAUGAUAGAAACAUUGAAGCCCUGGAGUUCCCUUCUCCCUUUGCACAAGCAGCAACAAAUGCAUUAAGCCCCACCUCCCCUCCCCAAAGAAGCAACUGCAGAAGCCCCAAAGAAUCCUUGAUCUACAGUCCAGAAACCAGCACUUCAGUACCAAGAGUACAUCCAUGGUGCUGAACACCAUCCUGCCUCAGAGGGCUUUCUUCAAAACUGAACUUUUGCACUUUGGAAGGACAAACUUUCUUAGAAGUCUGUGUAGAUUCAGCAUGUCAUCUAAAACUUUGCCAGUCUUCUGGAGACACGUAGUGGAGAGUAUCCUGAAUAAUUGCAUCUCAGCUUGGUAUGGAAACACCAAUGCCCAGGAAUGGAAAAUUCCACAAAAAGUGAAGCACCCAGCCCAUUCCGUCACAGGCAAAUGUGAGUACAUUUACAAGGAAUGAUGCCACAGUAAAGCAGCAUCCAUCAUCAAGGACACCCAUCAUCCAGUCCAUGCUCCCUUCUCACUACAUAGGAAGUACAGGAGCCUUGGGCACCAUGCCACCAGGUGCAGGAACAGUUAUUGUCCUACAACCAUCAGGCUCCUGAACCAACGUGGAUAACUUCACUCAACUCAAUCAAACUACUGCAAAAGUACCAGACAGACUGGGAAUAUGACAGGGAUGCUGCCGGGGAUCUCGAUUCUGAUCCAGAGAUUAAGGUUCAGAUUCAAGCCUUGAACUGCCAGCCUUUCGGUGAUUUGUGAGGAAUGGAUUUAUGUGGGGAAAUGAAUGGAUUUAUAAACGAGUCUCUAUUCGAGCUGGGGUAGUGUUGUUAAGGAAUGUAUCAGAGAAUGUUGUGAAAUAGAUAACGUGGAAUCUGUUUGCAUUGAAAUUGUGAAUAGAAGGAAAUAGAAAACAGAAGUUGGAAUAAUCCAUAGAAUCCCAAAAUGUGACCUCCAAUAACAUAAAGCACAUGCGAGAAAAUAUCCAGGAUAUGUUUGAAUGGCACUCAAAAUAUCAUUGGGGAUUUUAAUCUACCUAUUAAUUAGGGGAUCUAAACUGGUACGGAUAUCUUAAAAGAUUUGCAGAGUUUGUCAUCUGUUACUUAGAAUAAUAUGUUCCAGAACCUGAUUAGGAACUGCUUUUUCCCAGGUCUGAAAUGGCUAACACGAGAGGGUACAGUUUUAAGGUGCUUGGAGUUAGGUACAGAGGAGAUGUCCGGGGUAAAUUUUUUUUAUGCAGAGAGUGGUGAGUGCGUGGAAUGGGCUGCUGGUGAGGGCAGUAGAGACAGAUACGAUAGGGUCUUUUAAGAGACUCCUGGAUAGGUACAUGGAGCUUAGAAAAACAGAGGGCUAUGGGUAACCCUAGGUAAUUCCUAAAAUACGUACAUGUUCGGCACAACACUGUGGGCCCAAGGGCCUGUAUUAAGCUGUCGGUUUUCUAUGUUUUUGUGUUUCCGUGCUGAACUGACUCCACAACUCAUGUUCACAGUAUUAUUUAUUUUCUUAUUCGUUUUUUGCACGAUUUGUCUUCAUUUGGUCAUUGGAUGUUUGUCAAUCUUUGAUAUGUAUAGUUUUUCUUUCAUUAAUUCUAUUGUAUUUUUUUAUUUCUGGUAAAUGCCUACAAGAAAAUGAAUCUCUACGGUAAU